rnacentral:rRNA from 1 species
GGGCGCAAKYCUGAUGCAGCCMUGCCGCGUGUAUGAAGAAGGCCUUCGGGUUGUAAAGUACUUUCAGCGGGGAGGAAGGGAGUAAAGUUAAUACCUUUGCUCAUUGACGUUACCCGCAGAAGAAGCACCGGCUAACUCCGUGCCAGCAGCCGCGGUAAUACGGAGGGUGCAAGCGUUAAUCGGAAUUACUGGGCGUAAAGCGCACGCAGGCGGUUUGUUAAGUCAGAUGUGAAAUCCCCGGGCUCAACCUGGGAACUGCAUCUGAUACUGGCAAGCUUGAGUCUCGUAGAGGGGGGUAGAAUUCCAGGUGUAGCGGUGAAAUGCGUAGAGAUCUGGAGGAAUACC